CGGCGUGCUAUACAUGCAAGUCGUACGCUUCUUUUUCCACCGGAGCUUGCUCCACCGGAAAAAGAAGAGUGGCGAACGGGUGAGUAACACGUGGGUAACCUGCCCAUCAGAAGGGGAUAACACUUGGAAACAGGUGCUAAUACCGUAUAACAAUCGAAACCGCAUGGUUUUGAUUUGAAAGGCGCUUUCGGGUGUCGCUGAUGGAUGGACCCGCGGUGCAUUAGCUAGUUGGUGAGGUAACGGCUCACCAAGGCCACGAUGCAUAGCCGACCUGAGAGGGUGAUCGGCCACAUUGGGACUGAGACACGGCCCAAACUCCUACGGGAGGCAGCAGUAGGGAAUCUUCGGCAAUGGACGAAAGUCUGACCGAGCAACGCCGCGUGAGUGAAGAAGGUUUUCGGAUCGUAAAACUCUGUUGUUAGAGAAGAACAAGGAUGAGAGUAACUGUUCAUCCCUUGACGGUAUCUAACCAGAAAGCCACGGCUAACUACGUGCCAGCAGCCGCGGUAAUACGUAGGUGGCAAGCGUUGUCCGGAUUUAUUGGGCGUAAAGCGAGCGCAGGCGGUUUCUUAAGUCUGAUGUGAAAGCCCCCGGCUCAACCGGGGAGGGUCAUUGGAAACUGGGAGACUUGAGUGCAGAAGAGGAGAGUGGAAUUCCAUGUGUAGCGGUGAAAUGCGUAUAUAUAUGGAGGAACACC
rnacentral:rRNA from 1 species